rnacentral:rRNA from 1 species
UACAGAGGUGGCAAGCGUUGUUCGGAAUUACUGGGCGUAAAGGGCGCGUAGGCGGCCUACUAAGUCCGCUGUGAAAGUCCAGGGCUCAACCCUGGGAUGCCGGUGGAUACUGUCGGGCUCGAGUCCGGAAGAGGAGUGUGGAAUUCCUGGUGUAGCGGUGAAAUGCGCAGAUAUCAGGAAGAACACCCGUGGCUAAGGCGGCUCUCUAGUACGGUACUGACGCUGAGACGCGAAAGCGUGGGGAGCGAACAGG